GAUGAACGCUGGCGGCGUGCCUAAUACAUGCAAGUCGAGCGAACGGACGAGAAGCUUGCUUUUCUGAUGUUAGCGGCGGACGGGUGAGUAACACGUGGAUAACCUACCUAUAAGACCGGGAUAACUUCGGGAAACCGGAGCUAAUACCGGAUAAUAUUUUGAACCGCAUGGUUCAUAAGUGAAAGACGGUCUUGCUGUCACUUAUAGAUGGAUCCGCGCUGCAUUAGCUAGUUGGUAAGGUAACGGCUUACCAAGGCAACGAUGCAUAGCCGACCUGAGAGGGUGAUCGGCCACACUGGAACUGAGACACGGUCCAGACUCCUACGGGAGGCAGCAGUAGGGAAUCUUCCGCAAUGGGCGAAAGCCUGACGGAGCAACGCCGCGUGAGUGAUGAAGGUCUUCGGAUCGUAAAACUCUGUUAUUAGGGAAGAACAUAUGUGUAAGUAACUGUGCACAUCUUGACGGUACCUAAUCAGAAAGCCACGGCUAACUACGUG
rnacentral:rRNA from 1 species